CAGGCAGGAACUAACAGGAUUCCCCUAGUAACGGCGAGUGAAGCGGGAAGAGCUCAAGCUUAAAAUCUCCGUGCAAGUUUUGUGCGGCGAAUUGUAGUCUAUAGAAGCGUGGUCAGCAUGGGCACUUGGGGCAAGUUCCUUGGAAGAGGACAGCAUGGAGGGUGAUACUCCCGUUCAUUUCUGAGUUGCUCGUGCGUACGACCCGUUUUCUUUGAGUCGCGUUGUUUGGGAAUGCAGCGCAAAGUAGGUGGUAAAUUCCAUCUAAAGCUAAAUAUUGGUGCGAGACCGAUAGCGAACAAGUACCGUGAGGGAAAGAUGAAAAGAACUUUGAAAAGAGAGUUAAAGAGUACCUGAAACUGCUGAAAGGGAACCGAAUCGUUUCCAGUGUCUAUAAUCCGUGGUAUAUUUCAUUGGCGAGUGUGUGCGUGCGUGUGCUGUGGCAGCGGCUUUUUUGGCUGCGCUCGGCGUGUGUGCUGUGUGUGCUUGCUGGUGCUCUGUGCUGCGGUGGGACGUCAAGGUCAGUUCGUAUGCUGCGGGAAAUGGCUGCCGAGGAGGUAGGGCUUACGCUUGCGUUUGUCUGUUAUAUCUUGGUGGACGAGUAGUCGCGGUUGGGACUGAGGUGCCUACAACGUGCUUUUGAGUGGGUUUGUGUCUCCGUGUGCGCCGUGUGCGGAUAGCUUGCUAUGCGUGUGUGGUUGUGUGUGGAUUGAUGCGAGCUUUAACUUGUUGCCGUUCGGGACGUUGACGAAAUGGAGCGAUUCGACCCGUCUUGAAACACGGACCAAGGAGUCUAACAUGUGUGCAAGUGUUAGGGUGUGGAAACCCCAGCGCGAAAUGAAAGUGAAGGGCAGCGUAAGUUGUCUGAGGUAGGAAAUGCUGCGGGCUUCGGUUUGCGGUGUGGCACUAUCGACCGAUCAUGAACCUUCGUGGUGAAAGAUUUGAGUUUGAGCACAUAUGUUGGUACCCGAAAGAUGGUGAACUAUGCCUGA
rnacentral:rRNA from 1 species